GACGAACGCUGGCGGCGCGCCUAACACAUGCAAGUCGAACGAGCGAGAGGAGGUUUACUUUCUCAAGCGAGUGGCGAACGGGUGAGUAACGCGUGAGGAACCUGCCUCAAAGAGGGGGACAACAGUUGGAAACGACUGCUAAUACCGCAUAAGCCCACGACCCGGCAUCGGGUAGAGGGAAAAGGAGCAAUCCGCUUUGAGAUGGCCUCGCGUCCGAUUAGCUAGUUGGUGAGGUAAUGGCCCACCAAGGCGACGAUCGGUAGCCGGACUGAGAGGUUGAACGGCCACAUUGGGACUGAGACACGGCCCAGACUCCUACGGGAGGCAGCAGUGGGGAAUAUUGCACAAUGGGGGAAACCCUGAUGCAGCGACGCCGCGUGGAGGAAGAAGGUCUGCGGAUUGUAAACUCCUGUUGUUGAGGAAGAUAAUGACGGUACUCAACAAGGAAGUGACGGCUAACUACGUG
rnacentral:rRNA from 1 species